GUGAACUGAUUCACUCACCAAAAUAAAUUUCAUCCGUGUACAGAACGUCUUGUUGUAUUAAAAAGUUAUGGCUUUACCAGGGCCCAGGCAACCAACACAAGCUUUGCUGUUUCUAUGAAAAUUCCAAUUUCACGAGGAACAAACAAUGUUGAAUAUCA